rnacentral:misc_RNA from 1 species
GUGAGUCAUCGAAUCUUUGAACGCACCUUGCGCCUUUUGGUAUUCCGAAAGGCACACCUGUUUGAGCGUCAUGAAUACCUCAAUCUCCAUCUUUUCUUCGGAUUGAUGGGUGACUUGGAUGUUGAGCCCUGCUGGUAUGCUAUAUCAGCUGGCUUUAAACUUAUUAGCCGGCUCUGUACUGGAUCGGUUUGACUCGACGUGAUAAUAUUAUCGUUGAGGAUGCAUGUCUCAUGCAGCCGGAAAGUAUCAAAGCAGCUUCUAGCUUGCCUUUAGUGCACUUUUACAUUUUAGACCUCAGAU